rfam:Ectocarpus siliculosus strain Ec 32, whole genome shotgun sequence assembly, chromosome LG04
GCGCUGAUAGCUCAGGGGUAGAGCAAUUGAUUGCAGCUCAAUAGGUCACCAGUUCAAAUCUGGUUCAGCGCU